ensembl:lncRNA
GACAGUAUCUACUCUCUGUCCCUCCCUCUCUCACUAAAUUGGGCAGAUGGCUUUUUAAUCUCAGCGCAGGGUUCAGGCAGAAGCCAGAAGGGAGGGAGGUACAGGAAAGGAGCAUCCGACUUCUUUACAGUAAUUAGUAUCCUUUUGACCUUGAGGCCAGACCCAAGUCACCCCCCUGUGCUUCUGCACUUCCAUCCCUCUCACCGGAGAGUCAGAGCUGCUCCAAGCCAUGCCUCGGUCCCCCAGAUCUAAACGGCAGGAAGCUAAUGAGCCUCGGAAACCACGGGGCCUUUCACCUCACUCAAGCAGCUUGGAAGGCUUUCAAACCAAGCAGAAAAGCGGAUUCCAGUAUGUUGGUGCAGAGUGGUCUCCCCAUCGAGGGCCCCAGGACUAGAAUUUCAAGCGUUAUGAAGCACCUAUCACAGGAAGUGGUCCUUCUCUCCACCCAGUCAUGUGCUCAUCUGUCUAACUCCUUCCUGGACCCUGCCCCCUUGAAGGUCCCCCAGGACUUCAGACUGCACGUCAAUACUAGAGCAAGCUUCAUAAAACCAAACCAGACCAUGUCACAGCUCUGCCUGAAACUUUUCAGCGGCUUCCACCGACAGAUAAAACCUAAAUUCCUGGAGUUACUAUUGUGGCCCAGCAGUAACAAAUUCAACUAGUAUCUAUGAGAAGACAAAAAACAAAACAAAACACCUAAACUCUUUCAAGGCCAAUCAUGAUACCUGUUAACUUCCUUCAUUGCUUCUCCCUCUCACGACUGCCACAAAUAUCCUAAGACUGCCACAGACAUCCUAAGCUCAGCUACUCCAAACUACGCUCUUUCCUGGAGAAUGCCGUGAUCUGCCUCAUCUACGUACCUGUUCCUACAGCAAAUCUCUGACUUCCACAACGGGCUGCUGCAAGGAGCCUGCCUCCACCUUCCAGCUCUGUCAACUCAAAUCCAACCUCCAUCACCCACCUUAAAUCCCACUUCCUCCAAGAAGCCACCCUGUUAACCCCAGCUGAGAGCAAUGGCUCUCUUCCUUGAAUGCUUGUAGAACUGCCAAGUCCACCAUGGUCCGAUCCCAUUUACACGUUUCCUGGCUGUGUCAUCGAAGGAAGCUGUACCUUAUAAGCCUGAUACCUGAUUCAUGGACAGAUAGUACACCAGUGUAAACCUUAAGAGCCAAUGGCAGAGUUACACAGGAGAUAAGCGUGGGCUCUGAGGUCAGGGAAGGCUGGAUUUGAAUCCCUGUUUUCCUAGAGUGUCUUUGGAAAAGUCGCUCAAGCUCCCCAAGUCCUGGUUUCCUGAGAAUUAACACCACCUGCAUUGUCCGGGGCUUGUGUAUUUGUUGUUUAAAGAAAUCAUGAAGCACAUACAUGAAGGAGCUCUGUACAAUGUAAAUAAAAUUUCCAUUCUGUGAGUAGUUAUUAUUCAAAAAUGACACGUGAUCGUACCAGCAGUUUGAUUCAGGAAGACAACCGGAGAUUUUUGUACAAG